UGAUGCCCAGAUUGCUUUCAUCAACCCUGGUCUGCAAUGCCAGCAGCAGCCUCCAUGCUCGAGUACAAGGCAGGCAAACCGGGCUGGUGUGCUCUGCUGCAUGAAAGGGCUGUGGCUAACACCACCCUUAGAGCUGGAGAUGUGGCCCAAAUGCAGUUCCCAGCAUCGGGGCUCAGAAGUGCUCCAGGCAGAUUAGAGACUGGUGGGAGGAGGGAGGAAAUGAGCAGAGAGUUUUAAAGCAGGCCAUGUAGCACAGAUGGGGUAUGGCUGAGCACAAAGUAUCUUUAAAGAGAUGCAGUUUGAUAAGCUAGCAUGCCCUGUGGCUGCUGGAAAUGCUUUACGGUGGGGUAGAUAAGGUGGCUGCAGCAUCAGAGGAGCUAGGCAGCAACGUGCAGCUGUGAGAAAAGGAUGAAGAUGGCUGUAAAACAUCAUCUUGCUGCUGCUGGAGGACCAGGAGCAGUCUGGGACUCAAUGGACAAGGUCAACAGUACUGUGGCAUGUGUCCUGCUUUCCCCUCAUCAUAGGCUGGGGAGAGAUGGGCAGUAGCCGCCCCCUCCAUGGAAGGUCAGGGAUGCCCAUGAAGAAGCAGAUGCACCAGACCACUUGCAUGUAAAAUCCUCUUCCUUCCCUGUGUGGGGAGCUCAGAAGUGAGCAGGCUCAUCUGUCACUACAUCCCUUGAAAGCAGUAAUGUCAUCACCCUAACCAUGGAACUGCUUCAAAAGACCCUGGGAGUGCAUGCAAGGGUUCAUUUGGUCAAAAAAAGGAAGUUUUUUGAAUCACUUCUUUCCCAUGUUAGAAUGGAU